rnacentral:lncRNA from 1 species
CAAGGCAUUUAAGUGCAUCUGUGAAUGCCCACACUGGAAUCUGUCCCACGAACUUCAGCUCUGCUUCACACUGACGAGUCCUACAAUUCUUUUCUGUGUGUAAGUCCAGAUCCCAGCUGCACCUGAGCAGUCAUCUCCAGGGGGAGCUUCUCAGGUUCCACAAUGCACAGGGCUAAAUUGUCUCCUGCUUCCACAGCAGCACCCAAGUAGCCAUCUCUAGAAGGAACCUCUCAGGUUUCACAAUACACAAGGUUAAAUUGUGACUUGUGGCCAAGGACACUUCCAUACCUACCUCCCCCGCAGGCUUCUAACUCUAACAGGCAGCACCAAGCCAGUCUCUGCCCAGCCCAAGACUCAGGAGCAGUUUCCAGAGCAACAGCAUACUGCAGGUUGGUAAGCUGAGGUGUAGUCAGGCGCUCAAGGACAUGUUGACAGGUAACAGUGGAGACUGGCUUGGAACUCUGCCUGGUUCAUGUGCAUGCAUUGAUCUCUGCCGUCAGCUCUCUCUGCCCACUGCUACUAAAGUAUAGAUCCAAUGAACAGAAAGGCUCUUCUUCAACCUGGGACAGUUGUAGCUACACGGGAAGACCCUGGGAGGUACCUGGCUCCCAGUGCAUUGCAGGCAGGGUUGCUUGGCUGUUGGGAAGAAUGGGACCCGGGGCUUUUGCCCUGCUGAGGAAGACACCCAGGGUCAGCAUCCUGGCUCAGCCCACAGCCUCAGUGACAGGUUUAUUACCAAGCUUUACAGCUUCCAA